UGCAAGUCGAGCGGACAGAAGGGAGCUUGCUCCCGGAUGUUAGCGGCGGACGGGUGAGUAACACGUGGGUAACCUGCCUGUAAGACUGGGAUAACUCCGGGAAACCGGAGCUAAUACCGGAUAGUUCCUUGAACCGCAUGGUUCAAGGAUGAAAGACGGUUUCGGCUGUCACUUACAGAUGGACCCGCGGCGCAUUAGCUAGUUGGUGAGGUAACGGCUCACCAAGGCGACGAUGCGUAGCCGACCUGAGAGGGUGAUCGGCCACACUGGGACUGAGACACGGCCCAGACUCCUACGGGAGGCAGCAGUAGGGAAUCUUCCGCAAUGGACGAAAGUCUGACGGAGCAACGCCGCGUGAGUGAUGAAGGUUUUCGGAUCGUAAAGCUCUGUUGUUAGGGAAGAACAAGUGCAAGAGUAACUGCUUGCACCUUGACGGUACCUAACCAGAAAGCCACGGCUAACUACGUGCCAGCAGCCGCGGUAAUACGUAGGUGGCAAGCGUUGUCCGGAAUUAUUGGGCGUAAAGGGCUCGCAGGCGGUUUCUUAAGUCUGAUGUGAAAGCCCCCGGCUCAACCGGGGAGGGUCAUUGGAAACUGGGAAACUUGAGUGCAGAAGAGGAGAGUGGAAUUCCACGUGUAGCGGUGAAAUGCGUAGAGAUGUGGAGGAACACCAGUGGCGAAGGCGACUCUCUGGUCUGUAACUGACGCUGAGGAGCGAAAGCGUGGGGAGCGAACAGGAUUAGAUACCCUGGUAGUCCACGCCGUAAACGAUGAGUGCUAAGUGUUAGGGGGUUUCCGCCCCUUAGUGCUGCAGCUAACGCAUUAAGCACUCCGCCUGGGGGAGUACGGUCGCAAGACUGAAACUCAAAGGAAU
rnacentral:rRNA from 1 species